rnacentral:lncRNA from 12 species
GGGUGAACCUCAGUCAGCUGUCCUGUCAGGGUAGGAGGUGGAGCCCUCUCUGGGGGACACUCUGCGAAGUCCUCUCGGAGGAGAUGCACAAAGGGCAUUAAAGCAGCAAUGCCCGUGAGGCUGGUCAGUGUUUUCCCUCUGGAGGUGGUCCUCUACCUUGUAUUCCGGAUGUAUGCUGUGGAGAAGGUCUGCAAAGAGGGUAGUAUAUAUUCCGAGUCUCUGCCGGAGGAGCCGAGGAGACCCUGGCGUGGGGAGAAUGCUGGUGCCAUCCAACAGGAGGUAUGGCUCGUCAGGUGGGGGACAUGCCAGCCCAGUGCCUCCUCACCUGACCAGGGGGAGACCUGCCUCACCCCUACAUGGCCCGUGUUCUGGUUGGAGAUGAAGAGCAUCAUUCCUGCCCUGCUGGAGACCAGGUGAGUAGGGGUCUGG